GAAUCUGGCUCCAGGACUGGGACAACAUUGGGAAACUGAUGCUAAUACCGGAUGUGCCGAGAGGUGAAAGAUUAAUUGCCUGGAGAUGAGCUCGCGUCUGAUUAGCUAGUUGGUGAGGUAAGAGCUCACCAAGGCGACGAUCAGUAGCUGGUCUGAGAGGAUGAUCAGCCACACUGGGACUGAGACACGGCCCAGACUCCUACGGGAGGCAGCAGUGGGGAAUUUUCCGCAAUGGGCGAAAGCCUGACGGAGCAAGACCGCGUGAGGGAGGAAGGCUCUUGGGUUGUAAACCUCUUUUCUCAGGGAAGAAUAGAUGACGGUACCUGAGGAAUCAGCAUCGGCUAACUCCGUGCCAGCAGCCGCGGUAAUACGGAGGAUGCAAGCGUUAUCCGGAAUUAUUGGGCGUAAAGCGUCCGUAGGUGGUUAUACAAGUCAGCUGUUAAAGCGUGGGGCUUAACUCCAUAAAGGCGGUUGAAACUGUAGGACUAGAGUGUGGUAGGGGUAGCGGGAAUUCCCAGUGUAGCGGUGAAAUGCGUAGAUAUUGGGAAGAACACCGGCGGCGAAAGCGCGCUACUGGGCCA
rnacentral:rRNA from 1 species